CAGCAUCAGCAACAGCAGCAUUUGCUUGGAACCCAGCCUGACAACUCAAGCAUGCAAACUAAUCAGCACUCUGUAUGCAUGCUGCAACAGCCCAAGGUUCCAUGGCUGCAGGAAACUGCAAUUAAUUUGUUGCCAACUCAAGGCCAGCAGUCACAAUCACAGCUUCCACAGCAGCAAUUGAUGUCACAGAUUCAAUCACUGCCGACACAGUUUCAACAACAGCUGGUUUUGCAAGAGCAGUCUAAUCCAUUGCAACAAGAUCUGCAGCCAAGGCUCCAAGCAUCAAGUCAAGCACCAGCUUCCUUGCUUCAACAGCAGAUUGUAAUUGAUCAACAAAAGCAAUUGUAUCAAUCACAAAG
rnacentral:misc_RNA from 1 species